GGGCGGGGCUAAAAAGGGGGGCCGGGGGUUUUUCCUUUGUUAGGGGGGGGGGGGAAAAACCGGGGGAACCCCCCUUAAAGACUGGGAAAUUCCGGAAACCGGGGUUAAUCCGGAUGUUUGGAUUGACCCGCCAUGGUUCAAUCAAAAAAGGUGGUUUUAGCUACCAUUUCCAGAUGGACCCGCGCCCCUUAGCUAGUUGGUGAGGUAACGGUUCACCAAGGCGACGAUGCGUAGCCGACCUGAGAGGGUGAUCGGCCACACUGGGACUGAGACACGGCCCAGACUCCUACGGGAGGCAGCAGUAGGGAAUCUUCCGCAAUGGACGAAAGUCUGACGGAGCAACGCCGCGUGAGUGAUGAAGGUUUUCGGAUCGUAAAACUCUGUUGUUAGGGAAGAACAAGUACCGUUCGAAUAGGGCGGUACCUUGACGGUACCUAACCAGAAAGCCACGGCUAACUACGUGCCAGCAGCCGCGGUAAUACGUAGGUGGCAAGCGUUGUCCGGAAUUAUUGGGCGUAAAGCGCGCGCAGGCGGUUUCUUAAGUCUGAUGUGAAAGCCCCCGGCUCAACCGGGGAGGGUCAUUGGAAACUGGGGAACUUGAGUGCAGAAGAGGAGAGUGGAAUUCCACGUGUAGCGGUGAAAUGCGUAGAGAUGUGGAGGAACACCAGUGGCGAAGGCGACUCUCUGGUCUGUAACUGACGCUGAGGCGCGAAAGCGUGGGGAGCGAACAGGAUUAGAUACCCUGGUAGUCCACGCCGUAAACGAUGAGUGCUAAGUGUUAGAGGGUUUCCGCCCUUUAGUGCUGCAGCAAACGCAUUAAGCACUCCGCCUGGGGAGUACGGUCGCAAGACUGAAACUCAAAGGAAUUGACGGGGGCCCGCACAAGCGGUGGAGCAUGUGGUUUAAUUCGAAGCAACGCGAAGAACCUUACCAGGUCUUGACAUCCUCUGACAACCCUAGAGAUAGGGCUUCCCCUUCGGGGGCAGAGUGACAGGUGGUGCAUGGUUGUCGUCAGCUCGUGUCGUGAGAUGUUGGGUUAAGUCCCGCAACGAGCGCAACCCUUGAUCUUAGUUGCCAGCAUUCAGUUGGGCACUCUAAGGUGACUGCCGGUGACAAACCGGAGGAAGGUGGGGAUGACGUCAAAUCAUCAUGCCCCUUAUGACCUGGGCUACACACGUGCUACAAUGGGCAGAACAAAGGGCAGCGAAGCCGCGAGGCUAAGCCAAUCCCACAAAUCUGUUCUCAGUUCGGAUCGCAGUCUGCAACUCGACUGCGUGAAGCGGAAUCGCUAGUAAUCGCGGAUCAGCAUGCCGCCCCCC
rnacentral:rRNA from 1 species